AGCAAAGAAUUGGUUCAGACGUUUACUACUUGCCUACCAGAUCCAAGUCAAUCAUUUUUAAACUAUUUUUUAUUACUCACAUUAAUAAUGUGUGCAUAGCAGAGCAGAAGAAGCACUUGCAAAAGUGUGCAUACAUGUGUCUUGAGCAUAUUCAGAAGAUCUGACAAUAAAGCUCUGUUUAUUUUAUGGAAAAUAACAAACGGAGCCUAAAUCAACAUUUACUAGCAGUGUUCCCGCCUGCAAUAACAAAAUGUUCAAAUUCUAGGGGACUCUAAUAACAAUCAGCAAAAUCAGAAUGAAUCGUUACUGUUCUUGCAAGUGAACAAAAGGAAAGCUCUGUAGGUGUUGUAACCGUGUUGCAGCAAGCAAGCAUUCUGCUAAGUCAAAAUCUGGAAUCCUAAAGACCUUCAAGAGCAUGUCAAGCGCCCAAAAAAUUAAUAGCUUAACAAGUAAGUUGAUUACAAAGAUAGCAUUUUCUGCAAGGGAUCCAUAAUCAAAGCACUAAAUAAAUAUAAUAAAAUUACUAUGGGAUGAUCUUACAAAACAACAGAUCAUUUGGAUAGAACUAGUGAAGACAAGAAUUUCAAGGGUCCUGGGUAUCUGAUUGAAGAUUCAAUAAUUGGGAAACUACAAGCUUAGAGAGCUCAUUGAUUGUGGCUUGAACAUGGUAAUCAUCUGAUUGCCUAGAACAUCCAGGUAGUUGUGAGUUUGACCUAGUGUACUCAUUUGCAG
rnacentral:misc_RNA from 1 species